AAAUUGCUAAUAAUCUACAUUUACUUGUAUCAUGGAAUAUUAUAUAGCUGUUAAAAAGGAAGAAGAUCUGUGUGUAUGCCAUGAACUGACAAAGCAAGUGGCAGUGCAUUUCACAUUUAUUAAAAAGUAAAAAAUACAGUAUAGAUUAUGUUUUAAAUAUUAUGUAUCUAUUAUGGAUGUAAUUUUUAAAAAUAUAUAUUCCUAGUGCAUGUCUCAAGUGGUUUGGGGCAAGGCCUGAAGACCUGUUCUUUAAACAGAUCUUUUCAGGAAUUCUGAUGCCAACUCUGGUUUGAGAAUCAUUGAAAUACUGGAUUGCCUUAAAUAGAGUACCCUUUUUCUUUUCUCCAGGGCCUGGAAAUUUACACUCCAGGAUUCUAGGACAAACACAGCGUAUGUGGGCCUCUGCAGUCUGACUGAUACGAGACCACUCAUCGUGACGGUUCCAUCGCCUCCACCAUACACGGCCUAUGCUGCACCGGCCCCUGAGCAGGCGUACGGCUAUGGGCCAUAAGUGGUGCGUACCCGCCAGGAACUCAAGUUGUUAUGCUGCGAAUGGGCAGGCGUAUGCCGUGCCCUACCAGACCCAUAUGCAGGUAACUCAAGCCAGCCUUUCAUUCCUUUUUCUGUCCAUUUGCUGAGUAGGACCAGAGAGACCUGUAAACAUUUUUAUUUUUCAGUUUAAGGUUAAGUGAGCUGUAUUUCUGGUUGUAGACCACAAAUCACUUGUGUUACUAUGCUUUAAAAAGCCUUUGGUAGUUUCAUACUGCUCUGCAAAGCUAGAGUAGGCUUGAUUUUUGAAACUUUGCUAAUUGUGUCUGGAUUAGUUCUCAGGAGAUUUCGUACUUAUUGGGAUUCACUUACAUUGAGAAGCAGCCAGAGUAAGAGGCCAUUUUUAGAGGAUGAGAGGGACCUUUCAGCUGUUCUUCUGGUGAGGUCCUUGGAAAGUUAUCACUAUGAGGUGAU